ACCCCACAAUGCACGCCAGUUUAAACGCGAGCAGCACAGCUGUGUGCCUGGCUGCUUUCAGCACGAUUCAUUAUUGGGCAGAGCUACGCGGGUAAGUUGCUUUAUAAAAGUGUAUUUUUUGAUCUUGUAAUUUACAGGAAGCAGUACGCCGUCUUCACAACUCAGAGACAAACUGUAGCAGGCGCUACGAACCGGAGCAAGGACUAAUCUCGCCUCAUAACGAGGCCGUGACCUAUUUGCUCGGAGCUAUGUCUGCAAGUCCAGAUUUACAUGAUGCUGAUAAUGAUGCCAUUGUGUCUGCCUGUAAGACCCAAACCUAAACCUAACCAUAACCAGUCAAAAAACACAGAUAAACCUGUAUGACAUUACGAGACAGCACGCAGGAGCUUCAGCUAGAAACAACGAGAUGUGGCAUCGCGGGCAGAAGCUGUGAAGAGUUGAGCUCAGAGUCGUUUGAGAAGAAAAGAGGGUCACUGCAACCCAGGCAGACAUUGGCGGACAUCAGAUGACCAGUCAGACACACCCAGCCACAUAAGGCGGAUGCUGUCUAUUGAAGGAAGUGUCGUCAGGAGCUGGACAGCAGUGACACAUUUGAAGCUGCCUUCACAUUUCUC